rnacentral:sRNA from 1 species
ACAGCUUUCCUGCCCGCUUUGGAGGAGUCCACUUUGUCAACCAGCCCUGGUACAUUCAUGCCCUCUACACACUCAUCAAGCCAUUUCUUAAAGACAAGACCAGGAAACGGAUUUUCCUGCAUGGAAACAAUUUAAACAGCCUUCACCAGCUAAUACACCCUGAAUUUUUGCCCUCUGAAUUUGGAGGAACUCUUCCUCCUUAUGACAUGGGAACUUGGGCCCGGACGUUACUCGGUCCCGACUACAGCGAUGAAAAUGACUAUACUCACACAUCCUAUAAUGCAAUGCACGUGAAGCAUACGUCCUCGAAUCUGGAGAGAGAAUGCUCACCCAAGCUGAUGAAAAGGUAAGGCCUGGGUUAUCAGAGCCCCCCCAGUCAGAGGUCAAUGGAAUUUUUUAUUUGGACCUAUUGUGAAUUAUUAAUUAAAGACCUUUAUGGGCAGAGAACUUGAAUAAAAUAA